UGGGGAAUAUUGCACAAUGGGCGCAAGCCUGAUGCAGCCAUGCCGCGUGUAUGAAGAAGGCCUUCGGGUUGUAAAGCACUUUCAGCGGGGAGGAAGGCGAUAAGGUUAAUAACCUUGUCGAUUGACGUUACCCGCAGAAGAAGCACCGGCUAACUCCGUGCCAGCAGCCGCGGUAAUACGGAGGGUGCAAGCGUUAAUCGGAAUUACUGGGCGUAAAGCGCACGCAGGCGGUCUGUCAAGUCGGAUGUGAAAUCCCCGGGCUCAACCUGGGAACUGCAUCUGAUACUGGCAAGCUUGAGUCUCGUAGAGGGGGGUAGAAUUCCAGGUGUAGCGGUGAAAUGCGUAGAGAUCUGGAGGAAUACCGGUGGCGAAGGCGGCCCCCUGGACGAAGACUGACGCUCAGGUGCGAAAGCGUGGGGAGCAAACAGG
rnacentral:rRNA from 1 species